GUUUGAUCCUGGCUCAGGACGAACGCUGGCGGCGUGCUUAACACAUGCAAGUCGAACGAUGAUGCCCAGCUUGCUGGGUGGAUUAGUGGCGAACGGGUGAGUAACACGUGAGUAACCUGCCCCUGACUCUGGGAUAAGCGUUGGAAACGACGUCUAAUACUGGAUAUGAUCACUGGCCGCAUGGUCUGGUGGUGGAAAGAUUUUUUGGUUGGGGAUGGACUCGCGGCCUAUCAGCUUGUUGGUGAGGUAAUGGCUCACCAAGGCGACGACGGGUAGCCGGCCUGAGAGGGUGACCGGCCACACUGGGACUGAGACACGGCCCAGACUCCUACGGGAGGCAGCAGUGGGGAAUAUUGCACAAUGGGCGAAAGCCUGAUGCAGCAACGCCGCGUGAGGGAUGACGGCCUUCGGGUUGUAAACCUCUUUUAGUAGGGAAGAAGCGAAAGUGACGGUACCUGCAGAAAAAGCACCGGCUAACUACGUGCCAGCAGCCGCGGUAAUACGUAGGGUGCAAGCGUUGUCCGGAAUUAUUGGGCGUAAAGAGCUCGUAGGCGGUUUGUCGCGUCUGCUGUGAAAUCCCGAGGCUCAACCUCGGGCUUGCAGUGGGUACGGGCAGACUAGAGUGCGGUAGGGGAGAUUGGAAUUCCUGGUGUAGCGGUGGAAUGCGCAGAUAUCAGGAGGAACACCGAUGGCGAAGGCAGAUCUCUGGGCCGUAACUGACGCUGAGGAGCGAAAGCAUGGGGAGCGAACAGGAUUAGAUACCCUGGUAGUCCAUGCCGUAAACGUUGGGCGCUAGAUGUAGGGACCUUUCCACGGUUUCUGUGUCGUAGCUAACGCAUUAAGCGCCCCGCCUGGGGAGUACGGCCGCAAGGCUAAAACUCAAAGGAAUUGACGGGGGCCCGCACAAGCGGCGGAGCAUGCGGAUUAAUUCGAUGCAACGCGAAGAACCUUACCAAGGCUUGACAUACACCGGAAACGGCCAGAGAUGGUCGCCCCCUUGUGGUCGGUGUACAGGUGGUGCAUGGUUGUCGUCAGCUCGUGUCGUGAGAUGUUGGGUUAAGUCCCGCAACGAGCGCAACCCUCGUUCUAUGUUGCCAGCGGGUUAUGCCGGGGACUCAUAGGAGACUGCCGGGGUCAACUCGGAGGAAGGUGGGGAUGACGUCAAAUCAUCAUGCCCCUUAUGUCUUGGGCUUCACGCAUGCUACAAUGGCCGGUACAAAGGGCUGCGAUACCGUAAGGUGGAGCGAAUCCCAAAAAGCCGGUCUCAGUUCGGAUUGAGGUCUGCAACUCGACCUCAUGAAGUCGGAGUCGCUAGUAAUCGCAGAUCAGCAACGCUGCGGUGAAUACGUUCCCGGGCCUUGUACACACCGCCCGUCAAGUCAUGAAAGUCGGUAACACCCGAAGCCGGUGGCCUAACCCUUGUGGAAGGAGCCGUCGAAGGUGGGAUCGGUGAUUAGGACUAAGUCGUAACAAGGUAGCCGUACCGGAAGGUGCGGCUGGAUCACCUCC
rnacentral:rRNA from 2 species